CACAUCGACAUUCCCCGUUGUAGCCCCAUGUGGUGGCCCCGCCCCUCUUUUUUACGUCAUCGAGCUGCGACAUCUGCGGGAGGAGAGAGAACGCUUUCAUAUCAACAAACGUUUCGCGCUGUGCAUAAAUAAUACUUGGCACCUGGACGAUGUGUAGGAUAUAAUAUUCUGCAAGCGAUCAGUUCAGCUGUGGAAGUUGAUGUGGAAGAAAAAUGGACAAGAGUCUGAGCGAGUUUGACAAGGGCCAGGUUGUGAUGGCUUUACGACUGGGGCAGAGCAUCUCAGAGGUUGCAGAUCUUGUGGGAUGCUCCGAAUCUGCGGUGCAAGAGGUGAUUGACCAGAUUUCCGUGGACCAGGGUGGUGUCCUUCCUGACGAGAAGACCAUAGUGGAAAAGAAAAGCAGAGGGAGAUCCCGAAAGAACCCACAGACCUGAGACCAUCCCAGCCGUCACAGCUUUCAGGCUGCCGAGGUUCACACUGCCAUCCAACAUCAACACAUCGUACCAGGAGGAGAACCACAAUAUAUAUAAAAA